GCCACAGGAGGGAGAAAAACAAACAGGAAAGAAUUAAAAGGGUUGGGAUAGGGCUGCAAAGCAACAGGCAUAAAUCACGCAGCUCUUCCCUCCCUGAGCUCCCUUGCAGCCAGCACAUGCACAACACCUCCCUUCUGGAUGAGGCUUUGGCAUGAGAGGCAGAUCCCAUGAAUGCUCCAUCGCGUUACCACAGCAGAGCAGCGCUUGGCAAGCUGAUGCAGGAUACUCCCUCAAGAAAACUUUGAAGGAACAGUGCUGCACGGCUGAACUAGGCAAUUACAAAUAUACCAGACACAGGGCUGAGACCCACCUCACUUCUGUUCUGCUGGAGUUCAUAGAAUCACCAAGGUUGGGAAAGGCCCACAGGAUCACCCAGUCCAACCAUCACCAACAGUUCUCAAGAGUUGCAGCACAGUGAAUCACUCCAACCUUCCCUCAAGGAGGGACAGCACAAUAGGAUCAGCCUCUUCUGCACUGCUCUGAAAUCACAAUUCAGAAAAUGGACAAAGUGGAUAAUAAAUUACUCUUCUUAUGCCAGGAGUUGGAAAACAUCACUUAGUAGAACUGGGAGGAGGUGUUACAUUCUUAAGCCACAUGUUACACAAGAUAUGUCUGCAAGCAAACCGACAACAGAAGGACUGCUCUUUAUUGUACAAUGCCAUGUUCACUCCUGGCUUUUUCCAACACAGGACCCCUCUACAGGGCAUAACGCAAUGAUUAUGACAAAGGCACUUAAUCAACAUUAGCAGCUGCUCAAUUUCUAACUCUUGUUUUCCCACAAACUCCAUCUCCAGGAAAAUACAGAGUGCAACUCAAGGAAGCUCUCAGCUGUCCUCCACUUCGUGCAUUUCCAAAGCAGAUGUAAAACAACUUCUGGUCUCUCUUAUGUUCCUAUCUUGUUGAUCUGUGAUUUAUGACUGUAAGACCUUGGAACUUUGAACUGUUCAAUUCAAAUGCAUUCUUUUUUCGUUGUAGGAGUUUUAAGUAAUAUCUGAAGCUCUUAAUUUGUGGAUUAGCACAUUUACCUACACCACAAUUAGUCCAACUCUGAGAAAGCCCAAGACUAACUUUUGGUUCAUUACUCUGUCAAUCAAUAAGCAUCACAUGUGCUACCAGCCAUUCACCUAUAGGAAUGCUCCAGUUUGUUUCUACAUUCCCAGUCACCACUGAUUCAUCUGUCCAAGUCAUAUAACUGUUUUCUUUCUUGGUCAGUAAACUAGAUCAAAGCCUUGAUAUUUUUUAAGAAAAAUCUUGUAUUAAAGAGCAUGUGAGACCCUGAGAAGGUGGAGGCAAACACAUUUGCCACACCAGCGCUCAUCUCAGCUGACAACAGCAGCUUCCUGUGCUCUGUCCUGGGGGGAUAAGGGGCUGUUAAAUCCUCACAUCUGCCACCCCAGUGCACAGCUGUGAGUGGCUCAGGGAGAACCAUCCCUGCUUGCCCAGCUGCCCCCUUCUACUCACUGUCACUCAGCAAGUAACUAUUUCACAGGCCUCACAGAAAACAAUGGGAGCUUUCAGGAAUGAAAUAAAAUCUUUACUCUGAUAGGAAGGCAGCUGUGAGACACAUGAAAGCUUCUGCUUGCUGUCUCUUACUUGUCUCACAAGGUUCAGAUCGAAGGAGUCACAGCAAACCAUCUACAGUGAAACCCUUCACAAAGGUCAGUGCUGGAAAGAGUCUGAACAUGUGGUACCCUGCAGAAAGAUGUGUGGAUAGACAGAUAAACAGCUCACUGACAAGGUAGAUGGAUGCAGAAUGAGGAGGAGCAUACAUGGAAACAGAAUAUAAAAGGAAAAAAGUGAUCAAGAAAGCAAAUUGAUUUUCACUGUUUGUUUUGACAUCCCCAAAGAGGACCCCGUGAUCCUGAGGAAAUCCUGAGGAAUCAUUGCUCUCACUGCUGAUAUUCAGCCACCUUUGGGGCAGAAGGCUGCAGCCUUUAACAGCACUCACUUAUCCUAUAAACCAGUUUAUCACAAACUCACCUCAUAUUAAGGUGCUUUAUAACCCUGGGGGAAAAGUAUCACCUGUUAAAGAGCAAUUACCUCUGCAUUUCCCUUUAGGGCUAUUUUCUCAUCUAAGAACUGAUGAGGUCCAACGCUACUUCAGCUUGCUAAUUAUUCUAACUUCAGGACGUUAGUGCUGCUGAUUAGGAAGUGCGCUGCACCCAGAACAUAGAUGAAUUUAUUUCCUACGGGUAUGCAAUGCUGCACACUUGCAGUGUACUCAUACAGCACUGAGAAGUUAGGAAAAUUAACCCAUGUGGUAAUGUGCCCAGAUGCCUUCCAAUAGCUAGGAGGUCAUAUUUAAACGUUUAUUCCACCCGAUGACAAAUCUGAAUUCACAUCCUUAUACUGUCCUUCUGUCUCCUACCACCUCACUUCCCAGCUCCUGUACUCUCCCUGAGGCACUUCUCUAUCUUUUCCCCUCCUUCCUCUCUUGCUCACACUGGACUAUAAAUAAGUCUGCUUAACACAAACAUGCUUGCUCUGAGUAGUUACUUAUAUGAAAAAUAAUACAUGUUUGUAAGCUUCUUUGUCUUUCCCUUCUUCUACAUUUCAGUUUUGAUUUUCUCUUAUGUUUUGAACAGAUUCCUAUUUUCUACGCUUGAAUAACACUCCUGAAAAUGCUUCUUGUUGGUGUAAAUUUGACCUGUGCUGGUACAGCACGAAUCCUUGCAUUUCCCCUGGUGUUACAUUGCAGGUAGGGAAUAAGGUUUUACUGCUGAUAAUACAGAGGAGUUCUUUAUCUUACAAGGUAAGGAUUCAGGCUUUCAGCUCGGAAGCUCAAGAGCUCAAUGCCAUUGAUGACCCAGGGGAGGAGCUGUGAUACAGGAUCCCAUCACUGAUUUCCACGCUGCCAUCUCAUCAUCAAGUAGUCGAAACCCUUAACCCAUGUGAGCACUUCACCAUGCUAGAGAACUCAGCUCCUCACAGAACAGAAAACAAUGACCACUUGUUAAGCAUUUGUUUGAAAGAGGAAGAAAAAGAGUAUUACAAUGAGUGAUUUCAAUCUCUGUGCUGUCAGCUGAAGGUUCCAUGCUGCCAGAAACAAACAAAUGUAUUCCCUGUUUACAAAUGAUACCAAACAUUUUUAACCUCAAAGACUUUUGUAUCUUAUGUUGGGGAUUUUUUGGCGAGUGAAAAGAAAUAACUUUAGUAUUUAAAAAGUAGCGGUAUUUGAGAAUUUCAUUUGAUUACGUUUGUUUGAUAAUACACAACUGCUCUAAAACUGACAACUUCGCUAUGAUAAAAACAAAACAGCUUGGAGGAAAUAAAACGCCAAUAAUAUUUGCAAACUACAUAAAAGCACUUAGUGGGAAAAAUGCUAUUUCACUAACAGUAAGGAAUGACAGGUUAGUUAAAAAUAGAUAAAAGCUCAUAAAACAAAAGGGAACAAAAGUCAUAUAUAUCUAUUAAUUACUAGGUAGCUAGCCUGACUGUGCUGCUGCUAGCAAAAGUGCAGCUGCAUCAUUACUGGAAAAAUGGGACAGGCUAUGUACACAAAUAGGGCUGGAGUUCAAGCAUGCCUGCCCAAAUCCUCUCUGCUACUCCAUUUAGUGCAUUCUUUCUUAUCAUUCAAAGGGCUGCAUUGAAAUGUGCUGAGCUUCACUGUGCUCUGGAUCAGGGUUAAUGCACGUCUGAAUCCUCUGAGCUGGAGAGCUACUACUUAAAGCCAGUUUUGAGCAUUAGCAGAUUAUUUAAAAAUACCUUUGGAUGAAGAUGUAACAGCUCAGAUGGUGUGCAAUAAAAAACAAUGUACAUCUAGAAAGCUGCUGAGAGCUCAAUGGUUGAACUCAUAGAACGUUUCCUUCACUUGGACUCCAUCAGCAAGCAAGCUCCUACCAGUUCAUCUCUUGCCUUCAUUUACAAAUGCAGAGGAUUUAGCUCUCAGUCUCACUUUGGAGUCUCCAUUAGGACAUCUCCCCAAGUUAUGCUUAAAUCUGGUUCUCAUUUGUUCUUCUCCUGAAAUUAUUCAGGCUACUGUCACUACAUGAUUUGUCUUCAUGACUUCCAAAGGAUGAGUGCUGAGAUGGGAUUUGGACAGAAGGAUAAUACUGAGAGGUGAAACCAGGAAGACCUACACAUUUCUCAAAGGGCCACAAUCAGAAUUCCUUAUUUCCAGAAACUGGCUUUACAUUAUUUCUUAACAGGAGAUAAAGCAAAUUCUCUUAGAAGACCAAAACUCUUCUUUUCCCCCCUGCAAAACUGCAAUCUUCCAAAAAUGCAACAACUCUUGAAAUUCUUCAGCCCAAUUCACAGAGAAAACUCAGCCUGCCCAAGACCACAACUUUUUGCCUUGCUUGCACUUUGCUCCUCUGGGCUUGAUUGCUAUGCUAAUUAAACAAGACAUUGGUCAGGUUUUAACAUAGAUAUUCUUUUUUUAUUUUGGUUUCAGCUUCUUGAAAGGUGUCCAAGAAUACCAGGCAAGGAAAUGAAAUCUGCAUCCCAAGGAAACAAUCCCUUUCCAAAAUUGUUAAUCUUUCCUUAUGACAUGUUUUGGAAUACGAAUGUAUCCAGAGGGGGUUUAUUCAGCAAUAUGCUGUGCUCAUCCCCACCCAGUGACACUUGGAACACAAGCAGAAACACGUAUGUAUUACAAGGAGCGAUGUUCUACAUUGUUAUUAGAGAACCGGGCUUCCUUCAGCAUGCAACAUUAUCAUAACAAACCCAUGACUACACACUUUAACUGUCACUACAUUGCCUUCCAUAUAUGCUGGGAUCAGCAGAAUUAGAAGCCAGGUCUGGUUGCUACAUAUCACUUCUGAUAAAUUUCUGCAUUACAGCAACUGAAGGCGACUACAGAGCUUUGGCUGUGCCAGAUUCAAUCCAUUCAUAGGUCUGUUCCCCCAGCACGUUUCGUGAAGCUAUUUAGGGGUCAUAUGGAAAUGAAUGCAUGAAGAAGUGAAGAAAAAAGACAUAAUAUUAAACUCUGUAAGUGACUUUUAAGUGAAGACUUUUGCAAAAAGAAAAGACGUAGCAGGUAAGAAAUACAGAGGGGUAUUCUAUGCAUCAUACGGUAUGCAAUGAGCAAUGCUGAAUUUACCAAAAGCUACCAGCAGUUUUGGUUAUUCAGGUGAAGACAACUUAUGCCAAAAAUCUCAGGCAUCUUAAUGUCUCUUGAGACAAAGAUAAAAAAGCAUUCAUAAUCAGAAGUCAGCUCUUAAAACAUACAAUUGGUUCUUAUUUUGAGAAAAGUAGUAACAAGACUUUUUUUAUUUCUUUUUAAUCAAAACAUUGCUCAGAAGCCACAAGUCUCAGAUCAAGAACCAAAUGCGGAAUGCUAAGCGCUCACUAAGAGCUGGCUUGGGCAGCAUGAGUACUACACUAAUUUCUCUUUCAUUCCCUCAGCCCAAAAGCAAAACACAUUUUGCAGCAGCAUCUCAGCUGUUUGCUGAUGACUGAAUCCCAGGCAGGUCAAGAGAAACUUCUUGAACUUCCAAUUUCCAAGAAAGCCAACGAUCCAAGUGAAGUAAGAAGAAAGAAGACAUGCCGUGAAAGACAAAAAGCCUUCUUCAAACACAGCCCUUAAAUAACAGGAUGUGCAUGAAAUCCAAACUUCCUAAUGAAAUAAUUCCAAACCCUUUUGCAAGAAAGAACAGUAUUUUGAUGAAUGGUAUUUGUGACCUUAACGAUAAGCAUUAAUCUGUGCCACUUCAAAACCUCAGAAAAAAGUAGCUGGUAAGUGAGCACCUUGCUAACGAAAACCAGAGGAUGCAUCAUCCUAAUAAUCCAUGAGGAUAACCUGAGGGUAUUUUUUAACAUGACAGAGGCUGUCUCCUUGAGAAGAAAAGGUUAAAGACAACAGAGAGGCGACAGUGACAUCCCAACUACACACCUUAGUGAUAGCACAGCAUGCGCUUCCAUCAAACUACAUGUGGGUUUCUAAAAUACUCUUUCACAAAUCAAGUAAUUUAAGUCCAAAUGAAGUUAAAAACAAACUAAAAAUUUGCAAAUGCUCUGCGUUCACAAAAACAUACCUUGGAGGUUUCACAAAACAGAAUAUUCCCCAAACGGCGCAAUUAUUCUAAUGAAUAUGCCUAUAGAAUAAGUGGCUGCUCAGUAGGAGCAACUAGUGAAGCAUAUUAUGGUGAAAAAGGUAUUUUGCAGGUAUGGCUGUAACUUCAUGAUACCAGCUAGAAAAGAUUCUGCAGGUCUACAGAAGGGCUGUAACGGUGCUCUGCCAAGUUGCUGUCCAGGC
ensembl:lncRNA